rnacentral:rRNA from 1 species
UACGGGGGGGGCAAGCGUUGUUCGGAAUUACUGGGCGUAAAGGGCUCGUAGGUGGCCAACUAAGUCAGACGUGAAAUCCCUCGGCUUAACCGGGGAACUGCGUCUGAUACUGGAUGGCUUGAGUUUGGGAGAGGGAUGCGGAAUUCCAGGUGUAGCGGUGAAAUGCGUAGAUAUCGGGAGGAACACCGGUGGCGAAGGCGGCGACCUGGGUAGAUACUGACGCUGAGGUGCGAAAGCGUGGGGAGCAAACAGG